rnacentral:lncRNA from 10 species
CAAAUAAAUCCAAAAGCAGUUUUCUUGAAAAGACAAAAAAAUUAGAUCAUGGUCUUCAAAAAUCUGAUGAAGGAAAAGAGGGAAUAAAAAUGUUUGUAAUUAGAAAUGAAAAGGUGACAGUCACAUGUACAUGCAACUUCAUUGCCUGAAAACAUGCAACUUUAUUUUCUUACAAAAUGUAAAUGACCAAAACUGACUCAAGAACAAGUAGAAAAGCUGAAGAAUCCAACUACUGUAAAAAACAGAAGAUUAAUAAUCAAUAAAUAUUUAAAAACAUUAUGAAGCAAUGGUUUCACAGCUGAGUUUUAGCUAACCAUUAGAGAACAGGUGAGUCUAAUAUUAAGUAAAUUAUUCUAGGCUUUAGAGAAAGAUUUCUUUGAUUCACUUAAGCAAAUGUGGUCUAAUCCUGUAAGGAAGGACAAAGAAUAAAAUAAAAUAAAAGGAAAUAGGAGACUAAUGUUAGGAAUAAACUUGCUACAAGUCUAAAUAAGAUGAUAAAAAUCGAAUCCAAACAGAGUAUUCAAAAAGUAAUACACUAUGACAAACAGGUUUAUCCCAGAAAUACAAAGACGAUUUGAUACCAGAAAAAUCCAUAAACAUAAUACGUUAGUUAUUAUGUCUACAAAAUGAAAGAGAAGAAAAAAAAAAAGAGCAUAUUGAUUUAAUCAAUCGAUGCUGAAAAGACCUUUGUUAAAGCUAGGCAGAAAUUCCUAAAUACGACUAAGUUAACUAGGACUAGAAGAAUAGUUAAAUUAAAUAGCAGCCAUAGAGUCGGUAUAAUAUAAACACAUCAUUGCAUAGAAGAGGAAAUGGAUUUCCUUGGAAGAGAAGCGAUUUAAAAAGUAUGCAGAAAAUUAGUUGUCGGACAGGGAAGAGAACUCAGGUGUCCUACGUGGUCUUGAUCUAUGUCGCCCUGUGAGCCCAUUGUGCCACAGGUGUGGGGACCCAAUUUGGUUUAUGCUUUGGUCUCAAGUUGCAACAUUUUCUUGAUGUGACCUUGAGGUUUGCUUGCUUGUUUAUUGAUCAUUGCUGCCUCCUGUCUGCCUUUCUCUUUUUCCUAUUUAUUCUAUAUCUCUCUGUGGCCAUUGUGUUUGCUGAAGGCUUUACUGUGGGAAAGGAGGACUACUUACAACAGAGCAUUGGCUUAUGCCUGAGGAAUGACUACCAAUUCUGCAUUCAUUUUCUUUAAAAAUAUUUAGAUUGGGUGUCUCCAGGGUUCUGUGUGCCAUGCCAGGGAAUUAGAGCACAUACUGACUGAUUAGCUUGCCUCAUAAUAACAGUGGAAGGAAAAGUCAGUCGCAUGUUAUAAAAGAGGAAACUGAGGUUUAAUGAGAUGAUGGGUAAGUGGUUUUGGCCAGGAAAUAAUUGUCAGUGCUGGGAUUUGAUCUAUGUUACUUGAGGACAAGCCCAGUGCUUUUCCUAUAACACCACAGCUACCUCUUGUCACCCUGAGAAUUUUAGAAAAUUGUAGAAUGUGGUGAAGGUAAAGUAAGUAAAGCUCCAGAUUCUCUUGGUUGAAGGCAUGCGCUGUAGUGUCCCAGGCCUUCCAUGAGAACUGGAUUCUGGACAAGAAUCACAGCUGCUCACUGAUUGAGGGGAAACGCAUGGGCCUGGGAAUUCCUUGUUUAUAUUAAUAGUUUUGCUAUUUACCAGGUGUGAAUGUUUGGACUACUCCAUUUGCUCUCCGUCAUGCUCAAUUUCCUUAUUUUUUAAAUGGGAAUGACAGUAUAGAUUUCCCAGGUAGUUCUGAGGAUUGAGUAAAAUUAUGUAGGUAAGGUGUCUGGAAAAAUGGAUGCACUGAGUGAUUAUAAUAAAUAAGUAAGUGAUCCCUUCCUAUGAACUGACGUGAUCCAUUUGCCUCACACACACUUAUUGACAAGCUUCUCUGUGUCAGAAUGAGGUACCUAUAUGUGUAGGGAAAUAUUAGAAAUUAAAAUCCGCUUCAUGUUAAUUUAAUUCCUUUUAAUUUUAGCAAAAAAAAAAUCAAACAUUUUAAAGCACUUUAAUCUCAACAGUCUAAUUUUUAUCUCUACAUUUUAUUUAUGUCAUAUCAACUUAGUGGGAAAUAUUUUCCUAAUUGGGUUUGUCUGUGUUGAGAACAGGGACUCCUGUCCCGUAGCCCAGCCCUGUGGUCUGCCCACCGGCUGGUACUGUUUUUUCUGCUUUUUCUUCCAGUGACCAUGAAAAAUUGACAAAACAUUUAGAUGUGGCAUAACAUAUUUACGCUAAUAUAGCUAUUUCAGAAUCAUUUUUUCUCUUUAGCUUCAAAUCUCUCUGGGACUAACUUGGCAAGAAAGAAGGUGGUAAUUUUUAUAGAAAUUAGUAACUCUAAUCCUUUUAUUCUAAAAAAGAUUUGCUACUAAAUAAUCUUUUUAUUUACCAAUGGGUAUUUUUGAAGCUGAAUUCUAAGGCAAUUUACACUUUGAUUUUAGUGCCUGCUAUUCUAAGAGAACAUGUUUUUUUUUGUUGUUGUUUGUUUGUUUGUUUGUUUGUUUUGAGACAGAGUUUUGCUCUUGUUCCCCAGGCUGGAGUGCAAUGGUGCGAUCCGAUCUCAGCUCACUGCAACCUCAGCCUCCUGGGUUCAAGUGAUUCUUCUGCCUCAGUCUCCUGAGUAGCUGAGAUUACAGGCACUCGCCACCAUGCCCGGCUAAUUUUUGUAUUUUUAGUAGAUACAGGAUUUCGCGAUGUUGGCCAGGCUGGUCUCAAACUCCUGACUUCAAGUGACCCCCGCACCUCGGCCUCUCAAAAUGCUGGGAUUACAGGCAUGAGCCACUGUGCCUGGCCUCCAUUAACCUAUUCACCUUAGGCAUUUCCCUCGGAGGAAGAUGGGAAGGAAAAAGAAUGGUAAUAGAGUUUGGAUACGUCAAUGUAGACACUGGCUCAAGCUCCUGGAUAUUGGUGUUCUGCUGAUCCUUCAUACUUUUCACUGCAUUGAUUACCUGAACUCUGCAAGAGAUUUUGGACUCCAAAUCAAAGAUCAAAGCGUCUUGGAUUAGUCAUUUGAUCUUGGCUUCUGAGGGCUCAUUUGUAGAGUGGUGAGAAUAAUAUCUAACUUGCUAAUCUUUCAGAGACAUUCUGAGAGACAUAUGCAAAAGAAACUUGUAAAUAAAAA